rnacentral:rRNA from 1 species
AUGGAGAGACUUGUUAAUGUUCAUUACAUGGACAAGGAGGCAUUCUUGAGUAACAGUGCCGACACGGGUGAGGAACCAUUGGUUUUUGAUACAAGCCCUAGCUAUGAGGAUGUUGUUGCAAAAGUGAGACAAGUCUUAAAGUGGAUGGACACCAAUGUUGAUGUUAAAUUAAUAGGAAGGUAUGAUGUUGGAGUUGGAGCCAAAUCUCGCUUGAGAAGUAUGCCUAUCGCCUCAGAUUUGCAUUGGGAUGUAUACAAGGAAAAAGUUUCCCAAUCGGAAGACAAGUCACUUGAAUUGUUUGCCACCAAGGUUGAAUCUCCUCGGUUUACCUUUGAUUUGAACCGGCAUGUCUCUUCCCCAAUGGAUGACAUGAGCGAGAGGACAAUGGCCCCCAAUGCUUCUAGCCAACCACCAACUAGCCAA